AAAUAUAAAUUGAUUACUAACAAAACUACAUGUGUAUCUUUGUUGCUCAGACUGUCCCUUAAAUAAGGGUUUUUAGAACCCCUCUCUCAUUUUUCUCUUCUUUUUUCAUUAUUUUCCUUUUAUUAUUGGAAGAACAUAAUUAAUAGAGACCACCGUUGCAGAUGCUCUAAUAUACAUUAUGUUGCUACCAGUUAUAAUUAUAAGUGAUCAAUAAUUUGUCAAAAGAAUAUGAAUAUUGUGGCUUACCAAAAAAGAAUAUGAAUAUU
rnacentral:sRNA from 1 species